UCAGAGACUAAGUUUGGAAGAGCAGCAUUGAGCAGCAAUGUCCGUAUUUAAAAGUCACGAUAACUAAUGUCACAUUUUCUGUCUCAGAUCAGCAGGUGGUCCUGCAGAAAUAUAAGCACGUUGUGGAUGGUCUGGUGUUCACUCUCCGAGACAGCCUUGACCCUCACACUUCCUCUCCGAGACAGGAUCUUACAGCUCCAGUGCAGGUGAGCACAACGUUUCUGUCAUUCAAAAAAUAAAUGUCAAUUUACAGUUCUCAAUGUCAUGUAGUUAUAUGAUAACUACUUAUGCUUAUCCAUCUGACACCAGUAAACUGUUGUGAUCAUUUUUUUGGAUGCGUCUGUCAACAGCAGGGACGGCAGUCCAUUCCUGCCUCUACCCCUCCACCAAGUGGUGAAGAAUAUGAACUACAACCUGAUGCUUACCUCCUACGUUACUUAAAGGAAUGCCCAAAGGCUAGGAAAGAACUAGAGAAAGAACUCUCCUCUUUGGCCUGCUCUGCUCAGCUGUACCCAGAGGAAGGGAGGGUUUUAGUUAGCCGUUUAGCUAAACCUGGUGCUCCACAUGAUGUUACAAAUUGGAAAGCAGAAGUAGACAAACUCAUUGAUGGCUACCUGUGCCACUGUGAGGUGGACGUUCACAAAAUUAAAGCUUUGCUUCAGUCCCGCAGCUCUCCUCAGACCACAGACGACGUGAAGGUGUACAGCGAGGAUAGGAUGGCUGUUGUUGUCGGUGAGCGUUCUCAGGUGAAAGCCAGGUUGAUGGCUGUGGAGGACUUGCUUGUUAAACGAGGGUCACGUUUUAGUGGGAAGGAAACCAGCAUUCGUAGACUGGGCGUGGCAAAGUUCCGCCUCCUCUGGAAAAAGAUUGAGCAAGGUUUGCAACAAGAUUUUCCAGAAGUGAAGUUUGUGCAGGGAGCUGCAGGUCAGUUAGUUUUGGAAGGCUCUGCCAAAGAGAUUCUCAAGGCUGGAGCUUGGAUCUCUGAUCAGGAGAAGUUUGUGUUCGAAAGGACAGUUUCUGACAUGAGCCCACAUUUUUUGGCCUUCCUAAGAAAGGCCUAUGGAGGUCCAGGGGUGCUAGGGGACUUUCUAGGGGUUAGUGACAAAGUGGAAGUAGAGUUACGAGACAUAGAGCUAUGUUUCUUCACCCUUUCCUCCAAUAAUCUUGAUGAAACAGAAAAGGCACUGCAAGCUGAGAUCAAGGAAGUCAAGAUUGAUGUUCCUAGCUGCUCUGUUGUGCCAUCUGAGCUUCAGGAAAAGCUUAAGUCCAAGACAAAUGAGAUGAACCAAAGGCAAUACAGGGCUCAGGUCGUGUUUGGCUCAGACAGCACGGUGUGCUUACUGGGCCACACCAAAGAGGUUGAAGACCUGAAUGAAGCUGUCAUACAGUUUAUUUUGGACCAUUCUAGUGCGCAAAGCAUAGUCCAUCUGCCUUUCAAAGAGUUACCAGAAUUGCCCAAUUCCUUUUUUCUUCGGGAAAGAGUCCCCGUUGAACCAUUAGGGGCAGAACAAUAUUGCAGAAGCCCCACUGAGAAAGACGAACUCUUAAGUGUUGACCAGCUUCUCCAAGGAAUAAGUACCGGAAACAGUACACCAGGUGAUCAUGGGUUCCAGAUGGAUGCUACUGCCCAAGAUAAAGCUAGAGGAGCCACCGCUGGAGCUCCCGGAGGUGGUGUCCAUGUAAAGAUCAUUCAGGGAAGAGUGGAGACCCAGCAGGUGGAUGCCCUGGUAUCGCCCAUGGCUGGCCAUGACCCCCUCUCUACCAGUGUUGGAAACACCUUGUUUAAAAUAGUUGGAUCCCAGCUGACUGCAAUGUUUAGAAAGGAAGCUGUAGAAGAAACAUGGCCUGGUAACACAGUCCUGGUGGAGGGCCUGCCUGAACUUCCGUCUAAUGCAGUAUUCUUCCUCAACCUCACUCCCUGGGAUGAUGACCACGAUGGAACUGCAGUCGAGGUGAAAUAA
rnacentral:lncRNA from 1 species